AAGCGCAGAAACUGGAACGUUCUCAACAGGCAGGGCUCCGAGCGGGGCUUUCCGCCCAGCCUUGCCUGCGGGGCCCACUCCUCGCUCCCCAAGGCUGGCCUGCGUGGGCGGCCCCCACGCUGGGGACAGGUUCUCAGGCUCCGUCCCUGCUGUGGGCUUCCCUGACACUCUGUCCAGUUCCACUUGAGGCUCCUGGGGGCUCCCCACCAAGAGGCCAGCAACAGUCAGCUUGAGACACGCUCUGCAGGGCGUUAUCCUGCCUGCUGACCUCGCCUCUCAGGCACUCACCCGCCAAAAAUUCUGGGUGCCCAACUGCUCAGGCCCAGCAGACACAGCAGUAAAUGGGCCCAGCUAGUCGAGAGAGAAGACAGAUAAGUGAGGAGACGGGGCCGGUGUCAGUUGUGACAAGUCACGUGAGGACACAGGCAGGACCACAGGAAGUGACAGCAAGCGGUGAGGGGGCGAUCUGGGGCUUACGCGAGGCUGCAGUGGGGAGGCCGUGCCGAGCCGCCAAGGGCCCUUGGGGGACCCUGCCCGAGGGGACAGUGCCUUAGCCGGCUUGAGGCCUGGCAGGUUCUGCUGGGACUUUGUCGGAGGGGAGAGAGACUGGGGGAGACGGAGGUGGGGUGGCAGCUGCCCCCACCCCCAAAGCCUGGAGAGGGCAGCAGCUGCGGCAGCCUGUGGGAAGUCAGGCUCUGAGCACCCUGGAGGUGAGUUUUCGGGACACCUGCUCAGAGCCGAGGAGCCUCAGGAGGAUGAGUGCUGCCUAGACAGGCGGCGGGGAGCCUGGGACUUGGCCGGCCUGAAGGCACAGCGCGCUGUGCCCCCAGAGCCCCGGGUGGCAACUGGGGACGAGAUGGCCCCAGGCUUCUGUGGGUGCGGGGGCCGGAAGGCACCCCAGUCCAGCUGCUCCGCACAAGGUGGGCGUGCCCGCUGGGCCUCCGGUCUCAGGCUGCACCCACUGCCUCUGCAGGAACGUCCUCCACAAGCUGGGUCUCAGCGUCUCGGAGGAAGAGAUCCGAAAGGUGGUCGUCAACACCCCUGGGGCCGUCGAGCCCAUCCUGAGUGCAGGGAGGGACAAGGUGGAGGCCAGCGAGGACCCGCCCGGCAUGGCUGCACAUGUGGCUACUGCCGCGUGGCCGUGGCCUCUGCUCUGUUGGGACACGGCUCGUUGCCUGACAAUGAGAGUAAAACCAGCAAGCCUGCUGAGCCCCUCGGCGUGCUCUGGGGCGGAGACCCAUUGGAGUCAGAGGGCUCCAGAGAAGAUGGGCCAUUGUGCACACAGAGGGUGGGCUCCAGAUCGAACCCUCUGCACCGCCCCCACUGGCCGCCCGCCCGCCCGUUAAAGGCCCGCCUGCCGCUAAAGGCCCGUGCCUGCCUUUCAGUUGCCCAGCCAGGGAGCCCUGGCGCCGCCUGGACCCUGGGCUGCUGCAGUGGCUGCUGGAGGAGAAAGAGCGGGCGCUGGCAGUCCUCCAGGAGACGGUCAAGGUACAGGCCUACCAGCAUGCGGUGAGGCGGGGAGCAGCCAGGCAGGGCCCCGGCCGGCAGGGGGCCCGCGAGCAUAUCCCAGAGAUAGCCAGAAGCAGAGGGGAGACUGACCACCCAGCCUCGCCUGUCAUCACGCCAGGGACCACAAGUCAGGGGCUGCAGACUCACAGGCCUUGCCACCCGGACAUACUGGACGGCAGGCUCGAGGGCCCUGGGGCCCAGGCAGGGAGCAGAAGGCAGCUCCCUAAGACGCAAGCCUGGUUCUGGGGGCGUGUGCCUGUUCCCCCUGUCGCUGAGGGUCUCCAGCACUCCCGGGUUCAGGAGAUGCUCGGGUCCCGUCACUGCCAUUCAGCAGCCCCCACGUGCUCUGUUGGGCGUCCAGGCUGCAUGUUUGGACCCGAGUCAGCGGGGGUGGGGCGUGCAGGCCGCACAGCCUCGGGUUUGGAGGAGCUGGAGAAAUGGUGAUGACAGAGCGGUUCCUGCUGGCUCCGCAGUCGACGCAGCUCUUUUGAGGAAGCAGGAAGGUGGCGUCAUCCUGUGGUCUGCAUCUGCUGGGCGGCAGGGAGGAAGCCCUGUCUCAGCAAGGCCCCUUGCUGCCCUCAUGCCUGCCCGGCUCUGGGCCCUGUGCUGACACGGAGGCACGGCCCCCAUGGGCCGCAGAACAGCGCGGUCUGGACCGCAUGGUGUUCACUAGAUGGGCACCACGACGCUGUGGUCUGCGCUGCAGUCGCGACAGUCAGACCGUCUGCCGGUUUUGACUUGGGGGAGGGGUUGGUGCCCCCCCACACACACACCACCAGAUUGAUCAAGGGCCAACUGCAUUUGAUUUUUGAAACCCAGAGG
ensembl:lncRNA